rnacentral:rRNA from 1 species
AUCAUGCAAGUCGAGCGAACUGCAUUAGAAGCUUGCUUCUAUGACGUUAGCCGGCGGACGGGAUGAGUAACACGUUGGGCAACCUGCCUGUAAGACUGGGCAUAACUUCGCGGAAACCGAAGCUAAUACCGGAUAGGAUCUUCUCCUUCAUGGGUAGCAUGAUUGAAAGAUGGUUUCGGCUAUCACUUACAGGAUGGGCCCGCGGUGCAUUAGCUAGUUGGUGAGGUAACGGCUCACCAAGGCAACGAUGCAUAGCCGACCUGAGAGGGUGAUCGGCCACACUGGGACUGAGACACGGCCCAGACUCCUACGGGAGGCAGCAGUAGGGAAUCUUCCGCAAUGGACGAAAGUCUGACGGAGCAACGCCGCGUGAGUGAUGAAUGCUUUCGGGUCGUAAAACUCUGUUGUUAGGGAAGAACAAGUACAGAGUAACUGCUCGUACCUUGACGGUACCUAACCAGAAAGCCACGGCUAACUACGUGCCAGCAGCCGCGGGUAAUAC